rnacentral:rRNA from 1 species
GACGAACGCUGGCGGCGUGCUUAACACAUGCAAGUCGAACGGAAAGGCCCCUUCGGGGGUACUCGAGUGGCGAACAGGUGAGUAACACGUGAGUAACCUGCCCUUGACUUCGGGAUAACUUCAGGAAACUGGGGCUAAUACCGGAUAGGAAUCCUUGCUGCAUGGUGGGGGUGGGAAAGCUUCGGCGGUUUUGGAUGGACUCGCGGCUUAUCAGCUUGUUGGUGGGGGAGUGGCUUACCAAGGGUUUGACGGGUAGCCGGCCUGAGAGGGCGACCGGCCCCCUUGGGGCUGAGGUACGGCCCAGACUCCUACGGGGGGCAGCAGUGGGGAAUAUUGCACAAUGGGCGGGAGCCUGAUGCAGCAACGCCGCGUGCGGGAUGACGGCCUUCGGGUUGUAAACCGCUUUCAGCAGGGGCGAAGCUUGUGGUGACGGUACCUGCAGAAGAAGCACCGGCUAACUACGUG